AGACUGGAUGAUUCCAAACAAAUGAUUUUAAUAGUCAAAAUAGACCUUAUCUUGCGGGCCUGGUUACUACUUUGAAUGGGCAAACCAUCUGAGAAUACCAGGUAUUCUAGUCUA
rnacentral:rRNA from 1 species